rnacentral:rRNA from 1 species
AGGUUAACCGUAUAGGGGAGCCGUAGGGAAACCGAGUCUUAACUGGGCGAAUGAGUUGCAGGGUAUAGACCCGAAACCCGGUGAUCUAUCCAUGGGCAGGUUGAAGGUUGGGUAACACUAACUGGAGGACCGAACCGACUAAUGUUGAAAAAUUAGCGGAUGACUUGUGGAUGGGGGUGAAAGGCCAAUCAAACCGGGAGAUAGCUGGUUCUCCCCGAAAGCUAUUUAGGUAGCGCCUCGUGAACUCAUCUUCGGGGGUAGAGCACUGUUUCGACUAGGGGGUCAUCCCGACUUACCAACUCGAUGCAAACUGCGAAUACCGAAGAAUGUUAUCACGGGAGACACACGGCGGGUGCUAACGUCCGUCGUGAAGAGGGAAACAACCCAGACCGCCAGCUAAGGUCCCAAAGUCAUGGUUAAGUGGGAAACGAAGUGGGAAGGCUCAGACAGCCAGGAUGUUGGCUUAGAAGCAGCCAUCAUUUAAAGAAAGCGUAAUAGCUCACUGGUCGAGUCGGCCCGCGCGGAAGAUGUAACGGGGCUAAACCAUGCACCGAAGCUGCGGCAGCGACACGUAGUGUUGUUGGGUAGGGGAGCGUUCUGUAAGCCUGCGAAGGUGUACUGUGAGGUAUGCUGGAGGUAUCAGAAGUGCGAAUGCUGACAUAAGUAACGAUAAUGCGGGUGAAAAACCCGCACGCCGGAAGACCAAGGGUUCCUGUCCAACGUUAAUCGGGGCAGGGUGAGUCGACCCCUAAGGCGAGGCUGAAAAGCGUAGUCGAUGGGAAACGGGUUAAUAUUCCCGUACUGGUGGUAACUGCGAUGGGGGAACGGAGAAGGCUAGGUUGUCCGGGCGACGGUCGUCCCGGUUCAAGCAGGUAGGCAGAGUGAUUAGGCAAAUCCGGUCACUUAAUGCUGAGAUGUGAUGACGAACCACUAAGGUGGUGAAGCAAUUGAUGCCCCGCUUCCAGGAAAAGCCUCUAAGCUUCAGGUUACCAACAAUCGUACCCCAAACCGACACAGGUGGUCAGGUAGAGAAUACUCAGGCGCUUGAGAGAACUCGGGUGAAGGAACUAGGCAAAAUGGUGCCGUAACUUCGGGAGAAGGCACGCUGGCGGUAGGUAAAGUCCCUCGCGGACGGCGCUGAAGCCAGUCGAAGAUACCAGCUGGCUGCAACUGUUUAUUAAAAACACAGCACUGUGCAAACACGAAAGUGGACGUAUACGGUGUGACGCCUGCCCGGUGCUGGAAGGUUAAUUGAUGGGGUUAGCGUAAGCGAAGCUCCUGAUCGAAGCCCCAGUAAACGGCGGCCGUAACUAUAACGGUCCUAAGGUAGCGAAAUUCCUUGUCGGGUAAGUUCCGACCUGCACGAAUGGCGUAAUGAUGGCCAGGCUGUCUCCACCCGAGACUCAGUGAAAUUGAACUCGCUGUGAAGAUGCAGUGUACCCGCGGCAAGACGGAAAGACCCCGUGAACCUUUACUAUAGCUUGACACUGAACAUUGAGCCUUGAUGUGUAGGAUAGGUGGGAGGCUUUGAAGUGUGGACGCCAGUCUGCAUGGAGCCAACCUUGAAAUACCACCCUUUAACGUUUGAUGUUCUAACCUAGGCCCAUAAACUGGGUCGGGGACCGUGUCUGGUGGGUAGUUUGACUGGGGCGGUCUCCUCCUAAAGAGUAACGGAGGAGCACGAAGGUUGGCUAAGCAUGGUCGGACAUCAUGCGGUUAGUGCAAAGGCAUAAGCCAGCUUGACUGCGAGAGUGACGGCUCGAGCAGGUACGAAAGUAGGUCUUAGUGAUCCGGUGGUUCUGAAUGGAAGGGCCAUCGCUCAACGGAUAAAAGGUACUCCGGGGAUAACAGGCUGAUACCGCCCAAGAGUUCAUAUCGACGGCGGUGUUUGGCACCUCGAUGUCGGCUCAUCACAUCCUGGGGCUGAAGUAGGUCCCAAGGGUAUGGCUGUUCGCCAUUUAAAGUGGUACGCGAGCUGGGUUUAGAACGUCGUGAGACAGUUCGGUCCCUAUCUGCCGUGGGCGUUGGAAGAUUGAGAGGGGUUGCUCCUAGUACGAGAGGACCGGAGUGAACGCACCACUGGUGUUCGGGUUGUCAUGCCAAUGGCAUUGCCCGGUAGCUAAGUGCGGAAGAGAUAACCGCUGAAAGCAUCUAAGCGGGAAACUUGCCUCGAGAUGAGUCUUCCCUGUCGCUUUAAGCGACCUAAAGGAACGUUUAAGACUAAGACGUUGAUAGGCUGGGUGUGUAAGCGUAGCGAUACGUUGAGCUAACCAGUACUAAUGAACCGUGAGGCUUAACCUGACAACACCGAAAGUGUUUUG